rnacentral:rRNA from 1 species
UACGUAGGGGGCAAGCGUUGUCCGGAAUCAUUGGGCGUAAAGCGCGUGUAGGCGGCUUGGUAAGUCCGGUGUGAAACCUUGGGGCUCAACCCCAAGCCUGCACUGGAUACUGCCUCGCUUGAGUCCGGGAGGGGAGAGCGGAAUUCCUAGUGUAGCGGUGAAAUGCGCAGAUAUUAGGAAGAACACCGGUGGCGAAGGCGGCUCUCUGGAACGGUACUGACGCUGAGACGCGAAAGCGUGGGGAGCGAACAGG